GACGAACGCUGGCGGCGUGCCUAAUACAUGCAAGUCGAGCGCAGGAAAUCGACGGAACCCUUCGGGGGGAAGUCGACGGAAUGAGCGGCGGACGGGUGAGUAACACGUAAAGAACCUGCCCUCAGGUCUGGGAUAACCACGAGAAAUCGGGGCUAGUACCGGAUGGGUCAUCGGACCGCAUGGUCCGAGGAUGAAAGGCGCUUCGGCGUCGCCUGGGGAUGGCUUUGCGGUGCAUUAGCUGGUUGGUGGGGUAAUGGCCCACCAAGGCGAUGAUGCAUAGCCGACCUGAGAGGGUGAGCGGCCACACUGGGACUGAGACACGGCCCAGACUCCUACGGGAGGCAGCAGUAGGGAAUCUUCCACAAUGGACGAAAGUCUGAUGGAGCAACGCCGCGUGAACGAUGAAGGCCUUCGGGUCGUAAAGUUCUGUUGUAAGGGAAGAACAAGUGCCGCAGGCAAUGGCGGCACCUUGACGGUACCUUGCGAGAAAGCCACGGCUAACUACGUGCCAGCCGCCGCAGUAA
rnacentral:rRNA from 1 species